CAGCCGCCGCGGGAAUACGUAGGGUGCAAGCGUUAUCCGGAAUUAUUGGGCGUAAAGAGCUCGUAGGCGGUUUGUCGCGUCUGCUGUGAAAACUGGAGGCUCAACCUCCAGCCUGCAGUGGGUACGGGCAGACUAGAGUGCGGUAGGGGAGAUUGGAAUUCCUGGUGUAGCGGUGGAAUGCGCAGAUAUCAGGAGGAACACCGAUGGCGAAGGCAGAUCUCUGGGCCGUAACUGACGCUGAGGAGCGAAAGCGUGGGGAGCGAACAGGAUUAGAUACCCCCGUAGUCCCUGUCUCUUAUAC
rnacentral:rRNA from 1 species